AAGCGUUAGAGUGCCGAGGCCUUAGCGUGCCGAGGCCUUAGCGUGCCUUAGCGUUAGACUGCCGAGGCCUUAGCGUGCUGAGGUGUUAAAGUGCCGAGGCCUUAGCGUGCCGAGGCGUUAGAGUGCCGAGGCCUUAGCGUGCCGAGGCGUUAGACUGCCGAGGCCUUAGCGUGCCGAGGCGUUAGAGUGCCGAGGCCUUAGCGUGCCGAGGCGUUAGACUGACGAGGAGUUAGACUGCCGAGGUGUUGAAGUACCAAGCAAUAGCCUGCCGAGGCCUUAGUGUAGCGGGGUCUUAGCGUGCCUAGGCCUUAGUGUGCCGAGCCCUUAGCGUGCCAAAGCCUUACCAUGCCGAUGCGUUAGAGUGCCGAGGCCUUAGCGUGCCGAGGCGUUAGUGUGCCGAGGCCUUAGUGUGCCGAGGCCUUAGCGUGCCGAGGCCUUAGCGUGCCGAGGCCUUAGCGUGCCGAGGCCUUAGAGUGCCGAGGCCUUAGACUGCCGAGGCCUUAGCGUGCCGAGGUGUUAGAGUGCCGAGGCGUUAGAGUGCCGAGGCAUUAGACUGCCGAGGCCUUAGCGUGCCGAGGUGUUAGAGUGCCGAGGCCUUAGCGUGCCGAGGUAUUAGCAUGCCGAGGCCUUAGCGUGCCGAAGCGUUAGAGUGCCGAGGCCUUAGCGUGCCGAGGCCUUAGCGUGCCUUAGCGUUAGACUGCCGAGGCCUUAGCGUGCUGAGGUGUUAAAGUGCCGAGGCCUUAGCGUGCCGAGGUGUUAGACUGCCGAGGCCUUAGUGUGCCGAGGUGUUAGAGUGCCGAGGCCUUAGCGUGCCGAGGCGUUAGAGUGCCAAAGCCUUAGCGUGCCGAGGAGUUAGAGUGCCAAAGCCUUAGCGGGCCAAGGCCUUAGCGUGCCGAGGAGUUAGAGUGCCAAAGCCUUAGCGUGCCGAGGCGUUAGAGUGCCAAAGCCUUAGCGUGCCGAGGAGUUAGAGUGCCAAAGCCUUAGCGUGCCGAGGAGUUAGAGUGCCAAAGCCUUAGCGUGCCGAGGAGUUAGAGUGCCAAAGCCUUAGCGUGCCGAGGCCUUAGCGUGCCGAGGCGUUAGAGUGCCGAGGCCUUAGCGUGCCGAGGCGUCAGUGUGCCGAGGCCUUAACGUGCCGAGGUGUUAGAGUGCCGAGGCCUUAGCGUGCCGAGGUGUUAGAGUGCCGAGGCCUUAGCGUGCCGAGGCCUUAGCGUGAUGGGGUCUUAGCGUGUCAAGACCUUAGCGUGAUGGGGUCUUAGCGUGUCAAGACCUUAGCGUGACGGGGUCAUAGCGUGUUGAGACCUUAGCGUGACGGGGUCUUAGCGUGUCGAGACCUUAGCGUGACGGGGCCUUCGCGUGCCGUGGCCUUAGUGUGCUGAGGCUUUAGCGUGUCGAGGCCUUUGCCACUUCACACCUCGCUGGCUGGAGAUGUCUGGAUUUAUUUUUGGAACGCUACGUUUGAAGGGAAAUAAAUAAAGCCCAUGAGAUACACUUCCUUUCUGCUGCAUGUCUGAGUUUUCACCACUAGUCUCAGUCUCACGGUUGGUGUUUGCUCUGGGUGAGAGAGAGAAGUAUAGGUUUUAUGUCAACAUGAGUUUAUAUUUGUUUGAUUAUGUGUUUAUUUUAAUGCUAGUGUGUUUCUGUACUCUGGUCUGCUGAUUGGGUUUCUUUGUGGGCCUUUGUUUGGUUUUGUGGAUAUGUGUUAGUUUAUUUGUUAAAACCUGUUCUGUCUGUUCUAUCUGUCUGUCUGUCUGUCUGUCUGUCUGUCUGUCUGUCUGUCUGUCUGUCUGUCUGUCUGUUAUAUCUGUCUGUCUGUCUGUCUGUCUGUCUGUCUGUCUGUCUGUGUCUGUCUGUCUGUCUGUGUUGAGGCAUUAUGGUCAGAGGACAGAUCCAGCCGACCCACCACAGGCAUUACUACAGGUAUUGUGUGGUGACAUGACAUGGCCAGUUUGAGGCAUGCAGACACUGAGCCAGAGAGCUUUCACUGAGUGUUGUUACCCCCUCACACAGACAUGCAGACUGACAGAGACACACACAGGCAUGCAGACAGACACAGACACACACAGGCAUGCAGACAGACACAGACACACACAGGCAUGCAGACUGACACAGAGACAUACUGAUCAGUAGGCAUGUUGCCAGGCAGACACAGAAACUAGUAGGAGUAGGACAGACAAGCACAGUCAGACAAACAUACAGAAAUACAGACACAGACAUACAGACACAGACAGACAGCAGUGGAGUUAUUAACUCUCUUAACCAACCUGAGAUGGGAGGGGAGAGUUGACAUCACAGUCACAGGUGAAAGGGUUCUUGUUACCAGUGGACCUGGGGCUGUCCAAUGGGAAGUGAUUGAUGGGAGUAUUUAGCCUAAUGCUCUGCUCUAAAGAGAAUGUUCCCCUGGUCCUGGAUCAGCUGUCCCUAACAGAGUCACACUAUGUCAGAACAAAUAAGAUAGCAAAUUAGAUACUGGAGCCACAUUUCUGAGUAUGAAAUGUUCUGCUAACUGUGCUAGAGCAAGGCUAGCAGGCCCCUGGGUUGGGGACGUGUAGGCUAAAUGCAGCGUCCAUUGAGGAGCGUAACAGGGACAUAUUCAUAGUAAAAUCAAUAAAUGGAGAUUGAGAUGCUGGACAUUGAAAUGGACGCCUGGAAAUUAUCGUGACCUUGGGAGCCCCUUCCCCCUUAGCCAGACCUGGCAAACAAUCAUGUUUAUGCAGAAUGGAGGUCACAGGUGUUGGCUCAAAUUGUUUUUCCUUUAAUAAGUCACUGGUGAGUUCACAAUGAAAAAGGUAUUGAGCUUAGCAUCUAGGUGCCUGAGUGUCAUAGGUGAUUAGUGAGGUGCUUAUGGCCCUUGCACCACUUUGACCUCCUUGCUUUUUUAGUGUUGUGAAUAUUCCAAAGUGAAAAUGAUAUGACAGAAGAGAAAAGUUGAUUAUGUUAAAUACUAUUUUAUUUCUAUCCUCGUCCUCCCCUUCGCCGUUUCUGUCCUCCUCCUCUCUCUUCCUCUCCUCCCCUCUCUCUUUCUCACAUCUCUCUUUCUCUCCUCCCCCUUUCUCUUUCUCUCUUCCUCCUCACCCUCUCUCUUUCUAUACCCUGAUGAAGACAGCUUGAGUGUCGAAAUGUAGGUUAUAAAAUGAUUGUAUCUGAGGUCCUAGAGUGUGCGACUCCUUUUCUUUUUUUCUCUCCUUGUCUAAAUACUAUUUUCCCCGUAUUCUGAAUUGUUUUGUGUAGUCUGUGAUUUAUUUUAAGUUACUACAUUGACAUCGACUGAUAAAACACAAAGCUAGCUGUAGCAUCAGCUUUGUGGUUUAUCAAGGUGAUAAGUAUAUUGUUCUUGUGCUAUUUUAUGUAUUUCCGUGUAUGUAGGUGUGCGUGUAAGUGUGUGUGAGGAAGUGAGUGUGUUUGUGUGGGUGUGUGAGUGUUUUUUCCAGGCAGUGCUAGCUAACAUGUGAGAUUCUGUGCCGCAGUAGAGUUGUGCUUCUCAGAACGCCAGCCGUGCUGCAGCUCCGAGGGCUGAGCCGAGCUUGAGCCCCAGCGGUCCUCUAUCUUAUGACUGGCAGGCGACCACUCAACCCCUGCAGCUGCAUUGCUUUGGUGCCUGCCCUGCCUAGUGCAAUGCAAUCAGAGCUAGAGAUCCCACUCUGAGAGAAGAGUGAGGGAGGAACAGAGAGAGCAGUGUCACCAGUGAGAGCGCUGUGGUGUCAUGGGAGAUGGACGUGACUGCGUGGUGACUAAAUAAUAAAUGUGCCAUAUCAGGUUUCGCAUGGAGCCAGGGCCAUGGCUGUUGACGGCCAGAGCGAGGUGAGGGAGGAGGGGAGGGUACGAGAUAUGUCUGUGUGGGAUGCAGUGAUUUCCAUG
ensembl:lncRNA